GCCUUCGUGGUGUAGUGGUCAGCACGCUCGACGCGUAACCGAGAGGUCCGUGGUUCGAUUCCCGGCGAAGACG
rfam:Stegodyphus mimosarum contig94996, whole genome shotgun sequence.